AUUCUGUCUACAUUUAUACGGCUUACACUAAACUUUAUUUGUUUCUUUCUGUUUUGUCCUGACUUAUCUUCCCUCUCCACCGACUUUCUGCUCCAAGUCUCUCUUAUUUUCAAAAACUAAAAACUCGCUCACUCUUCCACUCUCUCAGCUGCCACAAACACAAGCCCCACUACGAAAAGGAAGAUGAAUAUGUACGCAUGGAGAGCAGUCUCAUGCCUCCCAAGUACAUCGCGCUCUGGGUAUGAACUGGAGCCCACCUCCUCGCCAAUUGGUAUUCUAUCUUUUCAGUUUUGGAUAUGUAUUUUGUUGUUGAGUGAAUUAUUUGGUUUGGGUUGGAAUUUAGGUAGUGGGUUUUGAAAUUUGAUCAAGUAUUUGAUGAAUUUCAAAUACUUGAUUUUGAACUUAGGUUGAAUUUCUGGAUAUGAGCUAUGUCAAUUUCUUUGAUGGAAAUUGGGGGAGUAGGAGAGAAGAGAGGGCUGGCUGCACCUGCGUGUACUGCGAU
rnacentral:lncRNA from 1 species